UAACACAGAACGUAGCGUAAACGUUGCCUGAUUGUAACAAAUGUCAGGCAACGUUAAACAGCCAACCUCAACGUUGAAUGUACGUUGCCAGCUGUACGUUCAAGUGAUGUCAUAAAUAAAUGUCACAGCAACGUCCUGACACCCACGUUGUGUCAACGUUGCAUGUAAACAUCAAUUUAACGUGUAAAUGGUAUCAAUGUAGCAACGUUACAAAACAGCACGUUCCCAGAACGUUGCCGGAUGUCACCAAUAUUGACAUUAAUGUGAUGCCAGGCUGCUGUAGCAUUUCGCAUGUAUACGUUCAUGCAACUAUAAGAUAUUUUCAUUUUCAACUGAACAUUCAUCUUUAUCAUACAGUGAGGUAUGGAGAUGUAUAGUGGUUAUGCAGUAAUUAAUAUCUUCUAAGGAACACCAUGUUAAAUUAUGUUUAUUAUGCUUCUCCACAGAUAAGAUCUGCUACAAAUUAUAUCAAAUGGCAGAAGCAUUCACAUGGAAAAAAUGCUAAUUGUUGCAACGGUUCACCUAUAGUAGACAAAGUUACGCAUAAAAGUAUUCCCUUCUUCCACACCAAAUGCACAAGACUUUGUGACUGCUUGCACGCCACAUGCCCCUAAAAGUGGAAACAUUAAGCAAGGGCCAUCAUGAAUUAGGCCCAAGCCCAUGAUACGAGCUGCAUAAAAAUGACGAACACAUGCACACUGCACAGUGGAUACACACAGAUCAUAUCUACUUGUCCAUAUGAAAAACAGUGCAUUUUUUUCAGUUCACGUAUGGUUUACAUCAUAGAAACGGCACUAGAGCAAAGGACUAUAAGCCACCAAUAGGGCUGCAAACACAUCGUACACCAGCGCACAUUUGUUUCACACACCACACAGGACACAUGCACGCUGCAGACAUGUUUUUUUUUUAGGAGGAAUCUUCGCGAGCCGCACGAUAAACACAGAAGGUACGGACGACAGGAGCAAAACCCGCGCACAUUCAACACACCGACACGAAAGGAAAUGCGGACGAUACGGGUGUAACCUGCGCCACACGAGCUAUCAACCCUCGUGGAUUUGAUCCUUUCCGCCUGAAACAGUCACAACGCGCACGGAAACAUCGAACACUGCACAUCUGUACCUCCGAUAUCGUGUCAACAAUUCCUGAGGCUACAAUUCAUGUUGACGACAUCAGAAAGUUAUCUAAAACUAAGUGACGGCGUAGGAAAAGUAGGCAGCAUCGCUAAACGUCAUGGAUUGGCUUCGAGUCAGCUUCGAGACAGCCCAAACCGUUCAAAUCAGGCCACAGCGACGGCUUGAUAAGGAUAACGUAUGCUGAUCUCGAAGGCCAUGCUUAUGCUGGCUGCAGACGGCGGAAGCAAUUCAAAGGUAAAAUACGUUUUAAAAUUUCUUUCUACGCUAAACUAUAGUGUAAAAUAUAGAUUGUUCUACGGUUAUUUUGUCUCGCAACAUCUAUACGUAGUUGUGUGUAACCCGGCACAAAAUUUUAGUAUGCGAGUGUACUGGUUAAUAUUUUUGUCAUCACAGAGGCCACAACAUUCUCACAAGUAUGCAGGUGGCGCUAUUGUUUUUCCUCCGUGUUCUGUGAUGGCGGUCGUAUGUGCGGGGUGCUACGAGCGUCGCGUUUGCUUGAUCGUGUGUUUUUGUGUUUGCUGUUAUGAAGUAGGUCGCAGUUAGCGUGCACAGAAGUGCCUGAAGAUACCUUGUGUCAUGCUGCAAACUCGCCGUAUGCGUGGCGCGCCAGGCAAAUGUGGCCCAACGAUUUUAUGCCGUGGAGUGCGGCCUCUUUGUUCUCGUUCUGGAAAGUUGGGUGGACGUCGCAAAGAAAUAAUGUGUGUUAGCGCGCCUCAGCUCGUCCACUACGCAGCGGCAUGUAUGCGGGGAGUAACAUCGUCGACGCAGCACCGGCAACUUGGAGAGCGCUUCGCGACCGCGUCGUACCAUUCAAAAGUGGCGAGGCUGUGACCCAUAACAGUGCCCACAUAACGGAGGAGCCACCAGACCCCUUGGCCAUGCCUGCCGUAGUGCAACGUGUAAUCUGGAUGGUCGGGUCAGGUACACCUAGGAAAUGUUGUAUACAUUGGCAACGAUAACUGGGGCCUGCUCCAGUGCCAUCGCCGGGAUUCCCUGUUCUGCAAAGAACUGGCAUAACUGAUGUGGGGAGCCCUGGCGCUCGGCGUAGGAGCGUCACAGGGGCUCCUUGUCGGUGCUUGAAGGACGGCAGUGCUGUUGAGAAGCCGACAUUGAGCCCCGAUAAAUUGGAAGCUGUGGGUAGUAAGUAUCAUUCACAUUUUUUCAAGUUUUUGUAAUGUUUGUAACAAUGCAUGUAUUGCACCGAAAUGAUUAACUUUUCAGAUGCAUUUGAUGCAUAUCUUUCGAAAUGUGGUGCCCCUGAGGAGAAAAAAUCAUCUUCUCAUGCUUGGUUUUGGCCGAGCGGUUGAAUCGAGUGACAAAGUUUUUCGCGUUUAGGUAGCCCAAGAAGAAACAAAAGCAGAAUUAACAAACCAGCUUAUUUGUGGCUACUCAUGAGUUGCAUUUCUUUGUUUAAAAGUGCCUGCGAAGUGGCGCUAACCUACUUAUCAGGUCCAGAAUUUUCUAUUAACACCGCUUCCAAAAGCUCGCGUUCUAAUUUGGUUUUUCCACGGCCAGAACUUCCGUAUUCGUCAUCCGCGGAUAGCAACGACAACUUUUGCGGUGUAGAGCAAUAUUCAACCCUUCUCCCGAUAUGCAACACCUGUAGCGUAGUUGUAGCCGGUCGUUCAGGCACUGAAUUGCAGUGCAGAUGUAGGCAACAACAGAAGAGUCAAGACGAGAGACAUGCGGCAACUCUUUAACAAAAAGCUUUAUUUUUGCUGGCCCAUGUUUAUAGCCGUCAGUCACUGCAUUGCACAUGCGCAAUUCGCACCCUUAGGAAGAAAGUAAACUCUGUCUGACAAGUGUACAGAAGGUGUGCUGAUACACACAGAGCCAAGUCGCGAAAUCUUUUCAGCCUCAAUUAUUUUACGUGUUAGUUGAUCACUGCUUCUGCUGGAAACAGUACACUGAGCAAACGACGGUUCACAGUCACACGAACUGCAAUGACAUUCAAGCCUACUGUCACGCACAUUUUUCUUGACAUUGUAUAAGUGUUCUCUCAGCCGGUGAUUGAUACAGUGUCCCAUUUGACCUAUAUACUGUUUACCACAAGGGGGAUACAAUAAACCACGUUGCUAACACAGGUGACAAACGGAAUUUGGUGUUUUGUUGCAUAUGUGUGGCGUGCUGUGACAUUGCCUUUGAUUACACAACUUUAGAAUGAUAUGCAAUUUUCUUGAUAUUGUGAGAGCUUAUGAAUGUAGGGUAUGACGGCCAGUUUUAUGUCUGUCAGAUGCAGUGACCACUUGACCUCUACUCUGAAAAGCGCAUGCACCGAGUGGUUGCCAUGUGAUCACUCCAUCUGACAGACUUAAAGUGGCUGUCAUACCAUACAUUCAUAAGCUGUCUCACAAUAUCGUGAAAACUGCAGAUCGUUCCAAAGUUAAAGUUGUCUUCUUUGCACCUCAGAAGCUUAUAAAGUUGUGUAAUCAAAGGAAAUGUUUCAGCGCAGCACACAAGUGUAACAAAAAGCACAAAAAUCUGUUCGUCACCUAUGUUAUCAACAUGAAUUACUGUACCCCUCUUUCUUGUGGUAAACAGUACAUAGGCCAAACAGGACGCUGUAUCAAUGACCAGCUGAGAGAACACUCUACAAUGUCAAGAAAAACGUGCAUGACAGUUGGCUUGCAUGUUGUUGCAGUUCAUGUGCCUGUGAACCAUUGUUUGCUCGGUGUACUGUUGUCAGCAGUAGCGGUGAUCAACUAACACGUGAAAUUAUUGAAGCUGAAAAGAUUGCGCGACUUGGCUCUGUGUGUGUCAGCAUCUGUACACUUAUCAGACAGAGUUGACCUUCCUAAGGGUGUGAAUUGCGCGUGUGCAAUGUGAUGAGUGACGGCUAUAAACAUGGGUCGCUGAAAAUAAAGCUUUUUGUUGGAAGUCAGCACACGUCUAUUGUCUCGUCUUUUCUGUCGUCAAUAUCUGUGCUGCAAUUGACCAAUAUGUUGUACCAACAAGUCAAUUUUAUCACUCACUCAUUGGAACUUUCUUUCAUCACGAAUGAAAUGUGUUUUUGGUACCGUGGUAGAGCAUUCACAUCAUUUGUUAAUUUUUGUUUUCUUCAAAGACUGAACUGUAUGUAACAAGCAGCCGUGGCAUUGCAAGGAAGCUUUAUGUGAAAGGAAUAUAUUGAUACUAACGUCUUAACUGCUUAGCGCAAUAAAGGAAGUUGUGGGCAUUGUUUUUUGUGCUUUCCUUGCUCUUGUGUCCAAACUUAUAGCUAUAAUGGUUAGGUUUUACUGAAAUUUGCUUUUUGAUGUUUUGCAUUAUUCUCCUGUGUAAAGUCACUAUUGUUUGUUUCACAGUUAUGCGAAGCUUAAGUUGUUUGUAAGCAUUUUUAUAGCCUGUUUUCACAGUAAACAUGGCUUACUUCAGUGUUUCAGAUGGCACUUUAUAGUUUGAUGUAAUUGAUGUCUCUGCAGGUUACCGCAUUAUUGGCUUGGAAACUAGUGAGGUCUGGAUGCAAGUGAAGCUACCGAGGGAGGCAUGUGUGCAUCACUUGUGCUGCUGGCCAUCCUCUGCAAAAGUGAUGGCUGGCUGUCAGUGCUUGGAUGACUUUCUGUUACUCUACGCCUUGGGCUGUGUUGACUACUUCACACUUGCUGCCAUGUCUGCAAGUUACUGUGUUGUGUUGUUGGUAUGUUACUGUGUUGUGUUGUACAUUACAAAGUGAAGGAGGACAGUAUUUGUGCUUUUAUUAAGAAGUAUAAAUUGUGUUCUGCCAUUGAAAUAAGGGAACUCGACAAAAAGCAAAAAAUUUCGAAGUCUGACCUACAUGGGAAAGCAAAAUAUAUUGUGUUGUAGUUGUAGCUGUUAGUAGAGUCUUAAUAUGCGAUAGAAGACCUUGAUGUUUAAUAGAAAAUAUAUUUAAGUGUGUUAUCAGAGUGUUAUCAGUUUUUAAGUUACUGUUAUAUAAGUGUCAUUUGUUUGCCAGGAUGAUGUAAGCAGACAGUAAAUAAAUGCAUGGUUUGACAUUAUAACCAGGUUUGUCUAUGGCAUUCACUAUUAUUUAAGUUGGACCAAUGCAUAUUCAUGGGUGCAUAUUCAACCACCACAUAUUCCUCCUGCACAAACAAUUCCUACAUACUAGCGUUUGUUCUUAGCAGCUGAUGUUGGCUAUUAUGCAAUUUCUUGAAAGCACAUGCAGCUACCGACACAUGAUUUUUAGAGCAGUAAGUCGGAAGCAAAGACUGAUUUUUUUCUGUGGUCUAAGCUUAAAUGAUAUGUUUAAGGAAAUGAACAUUUGUGGAAUAUAUUUACUUUCCUGCUGCGAGAACCUUUAUACGAGAACCUCUGCACAUUGGACGUGCAUGCUGCUUCUCUUGCUGUUAUAGCCAAAAUGAAAAAUUGUUCUUAUGAACCACUUCGCAGCUUUGCAUUGUGCACUUUUACUUGCAGUUAGCAUUUAUAUGCUGUGCUAUGGACAACAGCAAGACAAGUCAGGCAAACCACCAUGUGAAACACUUUAAAGAUUCUGGCUUAGGGCGCGUUGGUACUAUAUAUAGUGCAAGACAGAUGAGCUGCCCGUACAGCAGCGCUGUCAGCAUUACACGGCUGACAGCACCGCAAACCCUUAAAUUUAUAUUUGUUUGACAGAUAAUGCAUUCUAGUAGUUUUCAUGUCGUAAACAAGAACUGGUGAAAACAGCAUUAUUUUACGUAUAUAGUGUAUCUUACCACAAGGUAAGGUACACAGAUAUCUUGGUAAGCUACACAAGAUAUAUACGUAAUAAACGCUGUUUUUCACUAAUUCUUGUUUCACAUUUUCAUGCAUAUGCAACAUGAAAACUACUAGAGUAAAUUAUCUGUCAAGCAAAUAUAAAUUUAAGGGUUUGCGGUGCUGUCAGCCAUGUCAUGCUGACAGCACUGCUGUUAUGCAUGUCUACAAAUAUUCUGCAAUGUCAGUUGAGUGUUGCUUCAACGUCACAUACGAACGUUGCCUGAAAGCUCAAGUGACAAAAGGCAACAUCCACAUUACGUUGCCAGGAAGUUCUGUUAACGUUAUGUUAACGUCGUGAAUGUGCUGCUCAACGCUGCCACAACGUUACGACCCAACGUUGUCUGGCGAUCAAAAAGAGGACAUUAGCAGCAUGUAGGCAACGUUAU